rnacentral:rRNA from 1 species
UACGUAGGGGGCGAGCGUUGUCCGGAAUUACUGGGCGUAAAGCGUGCGCAGGCGGCGGCUCAAGUCAGGUGUGAAAUCCCCGGGCUUAACCUGGGAAUUGCGCUUGAAACUAGGUUGCUAGAGUGUGGCAGAGGGGGGUGGAAUUCCACGUGUAGCAGUGAAAUGCGUAGAGAUGUGGAGGAACACCGAUGGCGAAGGCAGCCCCCUGGGUCAAUACUGACGCUCAUGCACGAAAGCGUGGGGAGCAAACAGG